rnacentral:rRNA from 1 species
CCUACGGGUGACUGCAGUAGGGAAUUUUCCGCAAUGGGCGAAAGCCUGACGGAGCAAUGCCGCGUGAGUGAUGAAGGUCUUCGGGUCGUAAACCUCUGUUGUCAGAGAAAAACGGUCACUGUAGUGAUCAGCAGUGAAUUGACGGUACCUUCAGAGGAAGCACCGGCUAACUACGUGCCAGCAGCCGCGGUAAUACGGAGGUGGCGAGCGUUAUCCGGAAUGAGUGGGCGUAAAGCGGUCGCAGGCGGUUGUAUAAGUCUGAAGUAAAAGCCAUCGGCUCAACCGAUGUAAGCGUUGGAAACUGUAGAUCUAGAGUGCAGGAGAGGACAGUGGAAUGCCAUGUGUAGCGGUAGAAUGAGUAGAUAUAUGGAGGAACACCAGUGGCGAAGGCGGCUGUCUGGCCUGUAACUGACGCUGAGGCACGAAGGCGUGGGGAGCAAAUAGGAUUAGAGACCCCAGUAGUC